GGAGAGGUGGCAGAGUGGUCGAAUGUACCUGACUCGAAAUCAGGCGUACGGUUAUCCGUACCGUGGGUUCGAAUCCCACCCUCUCCGCCA
rnacentral:tRNA from 4 species